UGGGGAAUAUUGGACAAUGGGCGAAAGCCUGAUCCAGCCAUGCCGCGUGUGUGAAGAAGGUCUUCGGAUUGUAAAGCACUUUAAGUUGGGAGGAAGGGCAGUAAGCUAAUACCUUGCUGUUUUGACGUUACCGACAGAAUAAGCACCGGCUAACUCUGUGCCAGCAGCCGCGGGAAUACAGAGGGUGCAAGCGUUAAUCGGAAUUACUGGGCGUAAAGCGCGCGUAGGUGGUUCGUUAAGUUGGAUGUGAAAUCCCCGGGCUCAACCUGGGAACUGCAUCCAAAACUGGCGAGCUAGAGUAUGGUAGAGGGUGGUGGAAUUUCCUGUGUAGCGGUGAAAUGCGUAGAUAUAGGAAGGAACACCAGUGGCGAAGGCGACCACCUGGACUGAUACUGACACUGAGGUGCGAAAGCGUGGGGAGCAAACAGG
rnacentral:rRNA from 1 species